rnacentral:rRNA from 1 species
AUACGUAGGGGGCAAGCGUUAUCCGGAUUUACUGGGUGUAAAGGGAGCGUAGACGGCAUUGCAAGUCUGAUGUGAAAGCCCGGGGCUUAACCCCGGGACUGCAUUGGAAACUGUAGAGCUGGAGUGCAGGAGAGGUAAGCGGAAUUCCUAGUGUAGCGGUGAAAUGCGUAGAUAUUAGGAGGAACACCAGAGGCGAAGGCGGCUUACUGGACUGUAACUGACGUUGAGGCUCG